rnacentral:rRNA from 1 species
UACGAAGGGGGCUAGCGUUGCUCGGAAUCACUGGGCGUAAAGGGUGCGUAGGCGGGUUUUAAGUCAGGGGUGAAAUCCUGGAGCUCAACUCCAGAACUGCCUUUGAUACUGAAGAUCUUGAGUUCGGGAGAGGUGAGUGGAACUGCGAGUGUAGAGGUGAAAUUCGUAGAUAUUCGCAAGAACACCAGUGGCGAAGGCGGCUCACUGGCCCGGUACUGACGCUGAGGUGCGAAAGCGUGGGGAGCAAACAGGG